AUUGAACGCUGGCGGCAUGCUUUACACAUGCAAGUCGAACGGUAACAGGGUGCUUGCACCGCUGACGAGUGGCGAACGGGUGAGUAAUGCGUCGGAACGUGCCGAGUAGUGGGGGAUAACGCAUCGAAAGGUGUGCUAAUACCGCAUACGUACUGAGGUAGAAAGUGGGGGACCUUCGGGCCUCACGCUAUUCGAGCGGCCGACGUCUGAUUAGCUAGUUGGUGAGGUAAAGGCUCACCAAGGCGACGAUCAGUAGCGGGUCUGAGAGGAGGAUCCGACACACUGGGACUGAGACACGGCCCAGACUCCUACGGGAGGCAGCAGUGGGGAAUUUUGGACAAUGGGCGCAAGCCUGAUCCAGACAUGCCGCGUGUCUGAAGAAGGCCUUCGGGUUGUAAAGGACUUUUGUCCGGGAGCAAAUACCCAGUGCUAAUAACGCUGGGGGCUGAGAGUACCGGAAGAAUAAGCACCGGCUAACUACGUGCCAGCCGCCGCAGUAAAAC
rnacentral:rRNA from 1 species